AUUGAACGCUGGCGGCAGGCCUAACACAUGCAAGUCGAACGGUAACAGAAAGCAGCUUGCUGCUUUGCUGACGAGUGGCGGACGGGUGAGUAAUGUCUGGGAAACUGCCUGAUGGAGGGGGAUAACUACUGGAAACGGUAGCUAAUACCGCAUAACGUCGCAAGACCAAAGAGGGGGACCUUCGGGCCUCUUGCCAUCGGAUGUGCCCAGAUGGGAUUAGCUAGUAGGUGGGGUAACGGCUCACCUAGGCGACGAUCCCUAGCUGGUCUGAGAGGAUGACCAGCCACACUGGAACUGAGACACGGUCCAGACUCCUACGGGAGGCAGCAGUGGGGAAUAUUGCACAAUGGGCGCAAGCCUGAUGCAGCCAUGCCGCGUGUAUGAAGAAGGCCUUCGGGUUGUAAAGUACUUUCAGCGAGGAGGAAGGUGUUGUGGUUAAUAACCACAGCAAUUGACGUUACUCGCAGAAGAAGCACCGGCUAACUCCGUGCCAGCCGCCGCCGUAA
rnacentral:rRNA from 1 species